rnacentral:rRNA from 1 species
CCGUGCCAGCAGCCGCGGUAAUACGGAGGAUGCAAGCGUUAUCCGGAUUCAUUGGGUUUAAAGGGUGCGCAGGCUGUAAAGCAAGUCAGUGGUGAAAGCCCUGGGCUUAACUCAGGGAUUGCCAUUGAAACUGUUUUACUAGAGUGUAGUAGAGGACGGCGGAAUGAGUUGUGUAGCGGUGAAAUGCAUAGAUAUAACUCAGAACACCUAUUGCGUAGGCAGCUGUCUAUACUACAACUGACGCUGAGGCACGAAAGCGUGGGGAGCGAACAGGACUAGAUACCCUGGUAGUCCACGCUGUAAACGAUGAUCACUCGUUGUUGGCUACUUAGUAGUCAGUGACCAAGGGAAACCGAUAAGUGAUCCACCUGGGGAGUACGUCGGCAACGAUGAAACUCAAAGGAAUUGACGGGGGCCCGCACAAGCGGAGGAACAUGUGGUUUAAUUCGAUGAUACGCGAGGAACCUUACCUGGGCUUAAAUGCUGGCUGCAUUGGAGGGAAACCUUCAUUUCCUACGGGACCGCCAGCAAGGUGCUGCAUGGUUGUCGUCAGCUCGUGCCGUGAGGUGUCGGGUUAAGUCCCAUAACGAGCGCAACCCCUAUCGCUAGUUGCCAGCAUGUAACGGUGGGGACUCUAGCGAGACUGCCGGUGUAAACCGGAGGAAGGUGGGGAUGACGUCAAAUCAGCACGGCCCUUACGUCCAGGGCUACACACGUGUUACAAUGGCCGGUACAAAGAGCAGCCACCUGGCGACAGGGCGCUAAUCUCUAAAACCNGGUCUCAGUUCGGAUCGAAGUCUGCAAUUCGACUUCGUGAAGGUGGAUUCGCUA